rnacentral:rRNA from 1 species
UAGUAACGGCGAGUGAACAGGGAAAAGCUCAAGCUGAAAAUUGGCAGUUUACUGUCGAAUUGUAGUCUUACGAAGUGCAGCCUGUGUUUAUUCUAAGCUAAGUCUCUUGGAAAAGAGUACCAAAGAGGGUGAAAGUCCCGUCUUUACUUAGAAGUAUUCACGUUCGGUGCAUUUUCUUCGAGUCGCGUUCCUUGAGAUUGGAGCGCUAAUUAGGUGAUAAAUUUCAUCUAAAGCUAAAUAUUAACGAGAUUCCGAUAACAUACAAGUACCGUGAGGGAAAGAUGAAAAGGACUUUGAAAAGAGAGUUAAAAGGAACUGAAAUUGCUGAAAGGGAAGGGGAGAGUUUUGGCGGUCUAACAGUUCUUAAUAAUUGAUGUAGUUUAACUAUAAUCAAUUACUUUAGUUCUGUGUUGACUUUGGGAGAGGUUUAUUCAAUUAAGUAAGGUUUUUGAGUUCUUCCUCUCGAGGUAGACUUGAAUUCUGUCACUAGUUGAUUUGAUCUUUUAACUAUAACAGUUUGAAAGUAUCUGUUAUAUAUU